UUUGACAGAGAGGAGCUUA
rnacentral:siRNA from 1 species